UACCUGCAGCUCUAGUGGUGUCCGCUAUUAUUGGGCCUAAAACGUCCGUAGCCGGCUUAUUAAAUGCCUGGGUAAAUCGUACGGCUUAACCGUACGAAUUCCGGGUAGACUGAUAAGCUUGGGACCGGGAGAAGCUAGAGGUACUCCUGGGGUAGAGGUGAAAUUUUGUAAUCCUAAGGGGACCACCAGUGGCGAAGGCGUCUAGCUAGAACGGGUUUGACGGUGAGGGACGAAGCCCUGGGGAGCAAACGGGAUUAGAUACCCCGGUAGUCCAGGGUGUAAACGCUGCUUGCUUGAUGUUAGUCGGGCUCCGAGCCCGAUUAGUGUCGGAGAGAAGUUGUUAAGCAAGCUGCCUGGGAAGUACGGCCGCAAGACUGAAACUUAAAGGAAUUGGCGGGGAGCACUGCAACGGGUGGAGCGUGCGGUUU
rnacentral:rRNA from 1 species